UGGCGGCGUGCCUAAUACAUGCAAGUCGAACGAGUUUUGGUCGAUGAACGGUGCUUGCAUCGUGAUUCAACUUAAAACGAGUGGCGGACGGGUGAGUAACACGUGGGUAACCUGCCCUUAAGUGGGGGAUAACAUUUGGAAACAGAUGCUAAUACCGCAUAAAUCCAAGAACCGCAUGGUUCUUGGCUGAAAGAUGGCGUAAGCUAUCGCUUUUGGAUGGACCCGCGGCGUAUUAGCUAGUUGGUGAGGUAACGGCUCACCAAGGCGAUGAUACGUAGCCGAACUGAGAGGUUGAUCGGCCACAUUGGGACUGAGACACGGCCCAAACUCCUACGGGAGGCAGCAGUAGGGAAUCUUCCACAAUGGACGCAAGUCUGAUGGAGCAACGCCGCGUGAGUGAAGAAGGCUUUCGGGUCGUAAAACUCUGUUGUUGGAGAAGAAUGGUCGGCAGAGUAACUGUUGUCGGCGUGACGGUAUCCAACCAGAAAGCCACGGCUAACUACGUGCCAGCAGCCGCGGUAAUACGUAGGUGGCAAGCGUUAUCCGGAUUUAUUGGGCGUAAAGCGAGCGCAGGCGGUUUUUUAAGUCUGAUGUGAAAGCCCUCGGCUUAACCGAGGAAGCGCAUCGGAAACUGGGAAACUUGAGUGCAGAAGAGGACAGUGGAACUCCAUGUGUAGCGGUGAAAUGCGUAGAUAUAUGGAAGAACACCAGUGGCGAAGGCGGCUGUCUGGUCUGUAACUGACGCUGAGGCUCGAAAGCAUGGGUAGCGAACAGGAUUAGAUACCCUGGUAGUCCAUGCCGUAAACGAUGAAUGCUAGGUGUUGGAGGGUUUCCGCCCUUCAGUGCCGCAGCUAACGCAUUAAGCAUUCCGCCUGGGGAGUACGACCGCAAGGUUGAAACUCAAAGGAAUUGACGGGGGCCCGCACAAGCGGUGGAGCAUGUGGUUUAAUUCGAAGCAACGCGAAGAACCUUACCAGGUCUUGACAUCUUUUGAUCACCUGAGAGAUCAGGUUUCCCCUUCGGGGGCAAAAUGACAGGUGGUGCAUGGUUGUCGUCAGCUCGUGUCGUGAGAUGUUGGGUUAAGUCCCGCAACGAGCGCAACCCUUAUGACUAGUUGCCAGCAUUCAGUUGGGCACUCUAGUAAGACUGCCGGUGACAAACCGGAGGAAGGUGGGGAUGACGUCAAAUCAUCAUGCCCCUUAUGACCUGGGCUACACACGUGCUACAAUGGAUGGUACAACGAGUUGCGAGACCGCGAGGUCAAGCUAAUCUCUUAAAGCCAUUCUCAGUUCGGACUGUAGGCUGCAACUCGCCUACACGAAGUCGGAAUCGCUAGUAAUCGCGGAUCAGCACGCCGCGGUGAAUACGUUCCCGGGCCUUGUACACACCGCCCGUCACACCAUGAGAGUUUGUAACACCCGAAGCCGGUGGCGUAACCCUUUUAGGGAGCGAGCCGUCUAAGG
rnacentral:rRNA from 1 species